rnacentral:rRNA from 1 species
UGCGUAGGCGGACUUAUAAGUCAGUGGUGAAAACCUGCAGCUUAACUGUAGACGUGCCAUUGAUACUGUUAGUCUUGAGUAUGGUCAAGGUAGGCGGAAUGUGUAAUGUAGCGGUGAAAUGCUUAGAUAUUACACAGAACACCGAUUGCGAAGGCAGCUUACUGGGCCAUUACUGACGCUGAUGCACGAAAGCGUGGGGAGCAAACAGGAUUAGAUACCCUGGUAGUCCACGCCGUAAACGAUGAUCACUCGCUGUUAGCGAUACACUGUUAGCGGCUAAGCAAAAGCAUUAAGUGAUCCACCUGGGGAGUAACGGCCGCAAGGCUGAA